GGUCCUAUGGUGUAAUGGUUAGCACUCUGGACUUUGAGUCCAGCCUUCCGAGUUCAAAUCUCGGUAGGACCU
rnacentral:tRNA from 1 species